UUAAGUGACGAUAGCCUAGGAGAUACACCUGUUCCCAUGCCGAACACAGAAGUUAAGCCCUAGUACGCCUGAUGUAGUUGGGGGUUGCCCCCUGUUAGAUACGGUAGUCGCUUAAC
rnacentral:rRNA from 1 species